GGGGAUGUCCUUCAUCGUGCCCGGACUCAUCAUCGCCUCCACCGGAGUUCUGUGCUUCUUCUUCCUGGUUGAGAAACCUGAAGACGUCAACUGCACACCACCUCAGCACCAUACUGAAGAGGAGAGCGGGGA